UCUGUAACCCAGGUCAUUAACCUAGGUCACUAGCAUUUAUUUGCAAUUUUAUAUAACUAUUAUUGUCAUAAAAUAUAUAAAUAUAUAAAAAAAGAAAGAAGAAAAAUGCAGUAAAAUUGCUUUAUAAAUUAAAUUUAGAAAUGCUCUUGAGCCGAUUGCUCAUUGGUGAGGUGAAAAGUUAGUCCCGCCCCUUGCCGAAAGUUAGCGGACAAGCAGGCAGAACGAGAGUGAACUUGAACGAGAGAAGACGCAGUUGCACAAAUUGUGAUUAAAAUCCUUUGUUUAAUAAUCCAGCGAUAGAUUAUUAACAAGUUGAAUUUAUAUCUGUGAUUAUAUAACUUUUAGAAACUCGACUGUUUGAGAAUAGUAUUGUGUGACGACGUUUGAACCGGACAUGAUGAGACUGACGCAAUAAGAUAUAAUAUACAUCUUUUCCGGGGAGAAACAACUUUAUUUUUGUUUUCUGAUUUAUACUUCUCCUUGGCUGGGUUUUUUUUUCUUUGUGAGAAUUGUGUUCCUGAAUCCUGUCCUUGCUGAAUAUUCGCAUUCCGGUCGGGACUGGCGAGCCAUUCCAUCCUCUCGUACCUGGAAACAGAGAAAAGAGCGUGAAGUCUGCCGAACUGGUAGGAUCAAACAAAAGAGCGCGAAGUCUGCCGAACUGGUAGGAUCAAACAAAAGAGCGUGAAGCCUGCCGAACUGGUAGGAUCAAACUAUUUUUGCUUUGAUUUUUCUGUUAUUUCUCCCGAGUUUUUUCUAUCUGGAUCUUCGGUGGAUAGAAACAUUGUUUUUUCUCUCUCCUGGAUUAAAUUUCUUCUUCCACUUUUUGAUGAACAUUGCUUUAUACUCUUGAAUUUGAAAUUGAGACACUGAACUUAAACUCAACUGGACAUUUAGACUGAGUUGAAUGCAAAAACUGAAGCUCAUUGUGAAACAGAUUUCAAAAAUAUUUCAAAUCUGAACGUCUCAAAACUGAGACACUGAUUUUGAAAUUGUGUGUGAAAUUUAUUAUUUUACUGUUUUGUUUAUUUUUAUUCUGAAUCUGAACCUUGAUUUGGGUUUUUGAAUUUGUAUACCCUUUUGUUAUUUUGGGUUUUAUUAUUCAAUUCACUUGUUAUUUCAUUGCAAUUUAAAGAGAAGGAUUGAAGACAAAAAAUAAUCAAUCAAAACAAUAUACUACAUUCUCUUCCAUA